rnacentral:lncRNA from 1 species
GGAGAAAAGCGGGAAAGUAGUGAUUUAGGCUUUCAAGCCCAAAUCAUCGGCCCUGUCCUAAUCUAAUUGGGGAUUUUGACCCAUUUUCACCUGUCCUAAUUCUAUGUUUUCGAGCCCUUUUGGCUCGAAUCUUGCCUCCACCUGUAUUAAAUACAACCUUGGCUUCAUGGCCCGAAUGAAUGAAUAAGCAAAUAACUAAAUGAAGGCAACAAUGAGAAUAAAAAUGAAACUUUCAAGUUUCCGUUGCCGCUUCAAAGAUAG